rnacentral:rRNA from 2 species
AGCGGCGGACGGGUGAGUAACACGUGGGUAACCUGCCUGUAAGACUGGGAUAACUCCGGGAAACCGGGGCUAAUACCGGAUGGUUGUUUGAACCGCAUGGUUCAAACAUAAAAGGUGGCUUCGGCUACCACUUACAGAUGGACCCGCGGCGCAUUAGCUAGUUGGUGAGGUAACGGCUCACCAAGGCAACGAUGCGUAGCCGACCUGAGAGGGUGAUCGGCCACACUGGGACUGAGACACGGCCCAGACUCCUACGGGAGGCAGCAGUAGGGAAUCUUCCGCAAUGGACGAAAGUCUGACGGAGCAACGCCGCGUGAGUGAUGAAGGUUUUCGGAUCGUAAAGCUCUGUUGUUAGGGAAGAACAAGUACCGUUCGAAUAGGGCGGUACCUUGACGGUACCUAACCAGAAAGCCACGGCUAACUACGUGCCAGCAGCCGCGGUAAUACGUAGGUGGCAAGCGUUGUCCGGAAUUAUUGGGCGUAAAGGGCUCGCAGGCGGUUUCUUAAGUCUGAUGUGAAAGCCCCCGGCUCAACCGGGGAGGGUCAUUGGAAACUGGGGAACUUGAGUGC